CUCCAGUACAUGAAAUGCACUGAGAACGUAAAUAAAAUAAGUGUUUCCCCUUUAUUCGAAUAAAUACGGUUUGACAAACCGUGACGCAAUUUUUGUAUUUUUGAAAGCGCUUAUGGGAUUUGUAGUCAAUAAGUAGUUGUGAUUGCUGAAUCGGAUCUGGCGUUGGACUUCAUUUCCCGAAAAAGCCAUUGUCGAAACGCCAUGCGGUGCCAUCUGAAACUUGUAAAUAUUUCCACACAACUGCGCGACCGAAAGCUUGUCUGCAGCCCAACGAGCUGACCAGGGUAGCACGGUGGCUGUCUAACAGAUGGGCUGACCAUGCAGGAAGUCCCCAGAUGGAGGCGCUGUUGACAUGAAGAC